rnacentral:lncRNA from 1 species
AAACGUACUUUAGCUGAAGAAGUGGCAUUUAGUAUUUCCUCCCUGUCAAAGAUAACAGUAGUGGCACAAGAAAUUUAUUUAUUAAGGAUAUAAUCCAGGAUGAACUUUAUUGAAAAUUGCCAGGUAUAGCAUUGUUCAUUUACUGAGAACUUAAUCUUCAGUAGGUUGCCUUGAGGUUGUCAUGUGACAGUUCUAGUUCCUCAGCAUUUGAUUCACUGCUUUGCUAGAACUACAGCUGUGCUUCUUCCAAUAGAAAAUUUAAAAAUUAUUAACUGGAUAUAGAAUUAUUUACAAAAUAAUCACCAUACAUGAGCAGUUCUCGUCUAUGAAAGGUUUAACAAAAUAUGACUAAUAUAUGGGGGCAGAAAGGGGGAAUUAUCUUAAAUACAGAACUAAGAGCUAAAGUUCAAGAGUUGUGUUGAUCAAGAGCUUCAUUCAAUCUGGUAAGUGAGUUGUCUUUUUCUAUGAACA